rnacentral:lncRNA from 1 species
AGACAUGAUGCUAAAAGUUCCCAACAUCAUAAAAGUUUUUGACUUGAGAGUUGCGCAUGCGAAAAACAAGGAUAAGGUCAGAAAUGACUGAUUCAGAUAGAAAGAUGAUUGCACAGGGAGAUACCAAUCGUGUGGAGUCUUCCACUCUACGUAUCUGCAAGAGGAAUUCCAUGCUGACUCCGGCAGUAAUUUGCUAGGCACCACCACAAGCUGUAAGACAUGGUAUGAUUGUAUAGGAGACCUGCAUGGCCAAAUGGUUCUUCUCAAUGUCAUGAAUGCCAAGUACAUCUGCUGAAUACAGCCUUGAAAUCGUACUUGCUCAUGCUACUAUAGAGGGAAAGGCUCCUUG